UGAUGUCCAACAUGAAAGUCACAGAAACCCUUAUAUCCUACAAAUGAAUGGGAAUGGUUCCAAGAAAGGCCGGACGGGCAAACUAUAUCAACUCAGCAAACACAAGGACAUGAAAGCAGCCGCCACCAUAUUCAGCAGAUGGUUUGCCUCUCCCGAUGAAGAGACCAAUAUUACUGAAUCUGCAGUACACUGAGACACUGCUUCACCACGAUUCCCUGUUCAAGCGGAGGGCAGCAACAAUUACUAAGGUCAAGAAUUACAUUCUGUCCAGGCCACAAACAGAGGGGACAUUUUUAAAGCAGCAGAGCCAAACAGAGAACACAAACGGUAAAGUUAAGAAAAUCUUAGAAACCCACAACGUCGGAAAUACCUCCCCACUGCAGUUUAAGUUCCUUCCAUCAGGAUCCAAACAUUAGCCAAUACGAGCAGAUACAAAUUCUCUAUCAAACCAUUUUUUUAAAAGUGCGGGUAGCAUCAGCACAUCUCCAACCAUGCUCGUUUCCCCUUCCUUUCUUUCUUUUUUGCUAAAUGUUGUACUUCCCUUUAUUCACCUUUUACUCUUGUAAUCAUAUGUGGUUUUAUUAAGUCUGACUGUGAAUGUCUUUUUUUGUCUUUAUCUGUUUGUUUCUCUGUCUUUAUUGCUACGGCGGCAGAGCCCUCAGGGACAAUAAAGGAUUUGAACACGAACAAAGAGUAGCAAAAUAUUAUUUCUAAAUCGCUUCUGAUUUAGAAGAUGUACAGUGAAGAGAUAUAAGCGAUGUGGAACAGUUGGUUCGUUGACAGAAUGAGGACCAGAAACAGAUGUAUGUAACCUUAGCUGUGAGGAGUUAUGCAAUGCACAAUGGAGCAAGGCUAAAAGGCAAGACUUUACAUUUAAAGGAGGGGUUUCUGUGUAUGGAGUGUUCAAAGCACUUCUAUCGAAAUGCUCUUCAAAACCACACUGUAAAAAAGGAGCAAAAGAAGAAGUGUGUCAGUGCUCAAGGAAACAUGACCACUUCUGCUUACGCAAGUGGAGGUUUUAUGUUUAACGGGUGACUCAAAUGAUCUUGAACAGCCAAUAUGCACUCAGUGGACACUUCAUUAGGAACACCUGCAGCUAGGGCAUAAAUCCUGCCUUGUCAAAUUUGAUCAUGUUCAGUUUGUCGACAUUAUCAUAUCAUAUAUUUUGACGAUUAUGUAUUUAUUAUUGAGGUCCUAUAUUCAAUUGCAUUGUAUUGAUCUGUGUUUCUAAUUGUCUGCCCACUCCUGUAGCAAAGACCCAACACAUCUCAAGACGAUUUAGUCCAGGCUAACACCACCUAUAACUAUGAGCUUCAUGUUAAAACAUAUAAUACACAUUUAUCAUAAAACUAGACAUACACAUCAAUUGUAAAAUCAAAUCAAACUUUAUUUCAGCAAUAAAUUAGAAAAAACAUCCGAGUGAAUCUUUUGACAACUUCAUCUAGGGAGCCUUA